AACUCAUGGUGAGGGCACCUUCUCAAUAAGUCCUUGUAUCUCUCCCAUGCACCGUAAAGUGUUUCUAAAUCCAUCUGCACAAAAGAAGAAAUAUCAUUACAUAAUUU
rnacentral:snoRNA from 1 species